AGAGUUUGAUCCUGGCUCAGGACGAACGCUGGCGGCGUGCCUAACACAUGCAAGUCGAACGGAGUUAAUUCUUCGGAUUUAACUUAGUGGCGAACGGGUGAGUAACGCGUGAGGAACCUGCCUUUCAGUGGGGGACAACAGUUGGAAACGACUGCUAAUACCGCAUAACAUAUUCGGACCGCAUGAUCUGGAUAUCAAAGAUUUAUUGCUGAAAGAUGGCCUCGCGUCUGAUUAGCUAGUUGGUGAGGUAACGGCUCACCAAGGCGACGAUCAGUAGCCGGUCUGAGAGGAUGAACGGCCACAUUGGGACUGAGAUACGGCCCAGACUCCUACGGGAGGCAGCAGUGGGGAAUAUUGGGCAAUGGGGGAAACCCUGACCCAGCAACGCCGCGUGAAGGAAGAAGGCCUUCGGGUUGUAAACUUCUUUUACCAGGGACGAAGAACGUGACGGUACCUGGAGAAAAAGCAACGGCUAACUACGUGCCAGCAGCCGCGGUAAUACGUAGGUUGCAAGCGUUGUCCGGAUUUACUGGGUGUAAAGGGCGUGUAGGCGGAGAUGCAAGUUGGGAGUGAAAUCCCGGGGCUCAACCCCGGAACUGCUUUCAAAACUGCAUCCCUUGAGUAUCGGAGAGGCAAGCGGAAUUCCUAGUGUAGCGGUGAAAUGCGUAGAUAUUAGGAGGAACACCAGUGGCGAAGGCGGCUUGCUGGACGACAACUGACGCUGAGGCGCGAAAGCGUGGGGAGCAAACAGGAUUAGAUACCCUGGUAGUCCACGCCGUAAACGAUGAUUACUAGGUGUGGGGGGUCUGACCCCUUCCGUGCCGCAGUUAACGCAAUAAGUAAUCCACCUGGGGAGUACGGCCGCAAGGCUGAAACUCAAAGGAAUUGACGGGGGCCCGCACAAGCAGUGGAUUAUGUGGUUUAAUUCGAAGCAACGCGAAGAACCUUACCAGGUCUUGACAUCUCCUGCAUAGCCUAGAGAUAGGUGAAGUCCUUCGGGACAGGAUGACAGGUGGUGCAUGGUUGUCGUCAGCUCGUGUCGUGAGAUGUUGGGUUAAGUCCCGCAACGCGCGCAACCCCUGCCAUUAGUUGCUACGCAAGAGCACUCUAAUGGGACCGCUACCGACAAGGUGGAGGAAGGUGGGGACGACGUCAAAUCAUCAUGCCCCUUAUGACCUGGGCUACACACGUAAUACAAUGGCCGUUAACAAAGAGAAGCAAAGCAGUGAUGCGGAGCAAAACUCCAAAAACGGUCUCAGUUCGGAUUGUAGGCUGCAACCCGCCUACAUGAAGUUGGAAUUGCUAGUAAUCGCGGAUCAGCAUGCCGCGGUGAAUACGUUCCCGGGCCUUGCACACACCGCCCGUCA
rnacentral:rRNA from 1 species